UACGGGAGGCAGCAGUGGGGGAUAUUGCACAAUGGGGGAAACCCUGAUGCAGCAACGCCGCGUGAAGGAUGAAGGUUUUCGGAUUGUAAACUUCUUUUGUUAGGGACGAAAUUUGACGGUACCUAACGAAUAAGCUCCGGCUAACUACGUGCCAGCAGCCGCGGUAAU
rnacentral:rRNA from 1 species